UGUAUGACAAUUUAAUGAAUAAAGAUUCAUUAAAGCCCAAAAGCCCAAAAAUCCCUAAAUGGCCAGCCAUAUGGAAUGAAUUAGGGUUUUGGUUAUUUAGGUCACUUAAAGAAGUGACUAUAUAAAUGACUUUAUAGCCAAAUAUUCAUAAAGGAUUAAAAAGGGUUUAUUUUGGGGGAAAAAUGGGUGAGAAUUGUCUCUCCAUUUCUCUCUAAAGAGGCCAACACCUUGGAGGGUACAUCUAGCAAUCCUACUACUCCAAGGUCACUCAUUUCUUCUACAAUCUAACCUUGGUGAAGAGACUUAGAGGUUCUCAAUUUUGGGAACUUAGAGAACCUAUUCUUCCAUCCAAAUCCAUGGAUCUAAGAAGCAAGGAAUGAAGGCCCUAUCUCUUUGGGUGAUUAGCCUUUGCUUAUGCAAAGAGGAAUCUACAAAGGUAUUAAUUUCAACUCACUUUGUUUUGAGUUGAUUAUUGGUUCACCAAUCUCUACUAGGCUUUGAAUUUCAUGGUAAUGUUUUGUUUUUGAGUGCAUACAAGCAUGAUUCCGCCUUUAAUUGUUAAUUGCAUGCUAUAUGAUGUUGCUCAAAUGAACAUGUUUUCCCAAAAGAUUUCCUUCAAGUGGUAUCAGAGCCUAGGUCUAGUAGUUGGUGAAUCCUUUUGGGUUUUGUAGUUCAUAAGUUUGUGAUUUAAAAGUUGUAAUUGUUACAAGCUUUAUUCUUGCUUCUUUGAAAGUAAAUUUUGUUGGAAAAUUUGCCAUCUCAAAUGUUGUAGAUGUUGUUCAUAUGAGCAUGAAUAUUGGAGCUAAAAUUUGGUGCCAUGCUUUUGGGAAAAUUCGGCCAAAACCAAAGGGUGGAUUUUUGGGUUCUUGUUUGACUUGUUAAAAGUGUUUUAAUGUGUUUUGGAACCCCUAAGUACCCUAGUUUGGUUAGAUGUUAUUUCCCUUAAGUAAGAAUGGUUUUGGAAUGUUUUUGGGUGAAAAAGGUUCAUGGAAAAAUUUGGGUUUUUCAUGGAUGUUCUUCAUUGUUCUUGAUGUUCUUGCCAAGAACAAAAAGGUUUGGUGUUUUGAUUCAAAGUUUUGAAUUUAUUUCAUAAAGUUUAUGUGAUAUGUUUUUCAAAUGAUUUAUCAUGUAUUUAAAGUGUUAAAUAUUUGAUUAAAUGGCAAUAGAAAAAUCUAUCAUCAAAACUUAUAUUAUUUUUAUGAAAGGUGAUAGAAAUAAUGGUGAUAAGAAGUUCUUAUCUUACACCACUUGAUUGUUUUUGACAAAACUCACAAAUCAACACACACACCAAUCUUAUCCCUCCCCAAAACCAGCCACUCCCUCAAAGGGAGUACUUUUGGGGCUUUUAUGCAAUUACAUAAAGUUUUGAUACUUUUGUGUAUUUGCACUUUGGCCCAAAAGUUUACGUUUUUACGUUUAGGUCCAAAAACGCUAAAGGACAAAUUGUUUUGUUCCUUUAAUGAAGUUUUUGCAUUAUUAAAAGUUUGGGUUCUAGUUGUAUUUACAUGAAGUAGUGACUUUUGUGUAUUGUACAAAGUGACCCCAAAAGUUUUUGUUUUUGCAAUAUGGCCCAAAAGUUGAGGUUAAUUGCAUGAUGGCCCAAAUUAGGAUGAGAACAAAAUUGUUUUGUCUCUUUAAAUGAGAAUUGGAUUUUCAUUUUGUUUCAUUUUGUUUAGCUCCAUUUAAAUCAAUUUUAUGGAUACAAAAACCAAAUGAAAAUGUUGCAUUCAAUUUAAUUAGUUAAAGUGUUAAUUAAUUAAAGGGUGAUUAUGAACCUAAGCCUAAUAUAAUUGAGCUAUGUGAAAGGCCGUUUCAAAUUUGUUGAACCAUGGGAAUGUGUAGAUUAGAUUUUGGUUGUAAUUUGAUUUGAUCAAAUGUUGUAAAAGGGCUUAAGCUCUUCUUUACUUUAAAGUAAUUUGUUUAUGCAAAUGUUGUAAUGAGCAUAAGCUCACCUUUACUUUGAAGUACUUCUUUCUUGCUUUAUAUUGAUAUGCAUGAAAAUGAAGUAGUUGGGUCCAACGCCCCUAAGACAACACGCCUUAAUGUGAUUAAACGCGUAACUAAAAUCAAUCACCAUCCCUAGACCGAGAUUCAACACAAGGCUCGUGUUGAAUCUAAACAAAGGUUCAUAGUCAUCCUAAGGCCCUAAGGCAACUAUAUAGUCCAUCAAAUGAAUGCAAAGUUUAUGUUAGUAGUAUCAUAUACUCUUGCUUUAAAAAAAUCGUUUUAUAAGCAUAGUGGGAGUAUUAUAUACAACUAAAACAAUCAAAUGGACCAAUAGUUGUAAUAGGACCAAAAUUGUUUUAAUAGAGAUUAAAAUGAAUAUUUAUAUGUGAUGAGACCUAAAAACCCUCAACCAAACCAUUAUUAAGUUGAUAAGCGUGAGAGUGCUUUGAACACUCUUUCGUGGCCUUCCACCGUGGUGGGCUUCAAUCGUUUGUGACUCGUACACCGUAUUCGUCCAGUUCAUGGGGUUGCAAAGUAUGUGCUUACAUUCAGGAGAAGCCUAUAAACAUAUGAUGAAGUGAAAGGUAGGCAACAAGUGUGGCCAAUAUGGAGUUUUCUUCUGAGGCCAUUCUUGAACCCCUACUUGAACUAGCAUGGUGGGAAUGACUUAACUAAGUGCAAUGGUGCCAAUAUGGAGUUCUUCUGAGGCAUCAUUCUCUAGAGGCCAAACGAGAUGGGUACUUGCAUUAGUUGCAAAUGAGUAAGCGUACUCUCUCAUUAUUAUUGUUGCUAGCCAAUAUGGAGUUCUUCUGAGGUGGGCUUGGUAAUAGUGAGCCUCCCAUAACCUACUAAGAGUUUCAUCCAAAACUCUCGAAUUCCAAUGAGGGAUAUGGAAUUUGCCAAAAAUAGUGGGUGGUGCUAUUUUGAUUUAAAGACCCGAAUCAAAUGGCUUAAAAUCAAUCAAUUUAUAUUCGUUAUGUAUUUGAUACCAAUAUAUUUGCAAACGCUAUCCAACACUUGACAAAUAAAAGCCGAACGUUUAGUUUACGGACUUGGUACUACAAAACCAUAGAUUGUCUUUAAUGGCUUGUAAAAGUACCAAAGUAGUCUCAUCCUCACAAUCUUCCUAUUGAUAAUGUAUCAUUAGAAGAAUAUGUUAGAAAAGGUCUAUCAUAAAGAGGACAACACUUUUAAUGUCAUAAUUCUUCAAUUACAAAUUGUUGUAUGAAGAAAUAGGAGUUGCUUUGAACAACCCUUAGUCAAUGCAAACACUUAGUGCUUGUUUCUUUGUUACAUGAACAAGGAACUUGAGAAGAAAGCACAAAGGCAUGGACACUUUAUGUGCCAUGAUUCUUCACUUACAAUUUGUUGUAUGAAGAAAUAAGAGUUGCCUUGUACAACUCUUUAAAGUUUGUAAUUAUGUUUAGAACAUAAUGGUUGGUUGACAAAAAUAGUCCAUUAACAUGGAUUUAUGAUGAUUUUGAAUCAUUAAGUGUUGAAGUGAUAAAACCACUUAAUGAGACGGAAACUAGGCAAGGACUUCACCUUUGUUUCCCUAUCCUAAUCGUUCACUAAGUUUAUUGUAAACUAUGUAGUGAAAAAUAACCACAUGCUCUCCAAAAUGUUUGAUGUGUAUAACACAAUUGAAAAAAGGUUUCAAGAGAGAUAGUGGGAGUUUAGGGACCAUGACUAUUGUAGUCAAAAGGAGAAGUCAAAUAAAGAAGAUAAAAUAACUCCAAGGGAACAAACUUUCUUUAUGAAAGGAUGGACAUUGGAAGGGGUAUUUGCAAGAAAUGUCUUGCAAGUGUCAAGGACACACCUUUCGAAGGUGUUGUAAAUUGUUCUUGAAUAGUUCAAAACAGUUGGUUCUUCUACUUGAAUGCAUUGAUUCCGUAUUAGUGACUAUGUUUUACAAAUCGUUGUAAAAGUGUGACUAAUAAGAAGUAGAAGAUAUAUGAGUGAAGAAAAGGUGCUUCACAUUCGGAAACGUGAAUCAAAUAUAGAUCUCUGCGAAAGCAGAUGGUACUUACUUCCUCAUAUGAACUACCAAAGAAAUUGGAAAAACAUAGAUUGUCUUUAUAUUCCAAUUUUAAGGAACUAAAUUCCGUCACUAUGUGAAAUGGAUAAAUGUUUUGUUUGACAAAACAUUGUUCUUUAUUAAUCAAUGAUUGGAUUAUGGUAAUCUAAUUGAUUGUCUCUAUAGUAGAGAUAAUAUGGUGGUGUUAACUGUUUAGAAAAUAAUGAUGCUUGAAACCCAAAAGGUUGCAAGGUAGUGACUAAUCUCAACUAAAGUUGUGAUACCUCUAAAACAUAAAUUACGAGUUGGUAAUAAAUGGAUGCUUUGGAUCGUUAGAUCCGGAUCCAAUACCUUCUUGUUAAAAUUGUAUGGAGGCGAAAUGUUCGAAUCUUUAUUCUUUUGGAAAGAAGAAAGAAUCACAAAGUUGUUGAGGUUAAUUCACUUAGAUGUUAGUGGCACUUGUCCACAAACAUAAUAUUACUCAUGUUGAAUAACAUUCACCGAAGAUCACUCUCGGUUGGACUAUAGUUUAUUUUGAAUAAACACAAGUCCGAAUACUUUGCAGAAUGUUUCAAAGAAUUCAAGAAAUGUAAGUUGAUGAGUAAGACAUCUAAAGUAUUAUCUCCUUAGAUUUGAUCCAAGGAAAGGUAACACUUUAGAUGAGUUUCCUUGAAAGAUAUCAAGGAAAAUAGCAUCAUAAGAUAAUGUAUUUCUCCAUUAGGAGAAGAACGAACUCGAAUAAGAUUUAGUUCGUUAGAUGUUAUCUAUUACCCAUAUAUAGGAUAUAUACUUCUAAAAACAAUAUGAUUGUCAAUGAGAAGAUCUUCCAAUAUUUUCAUGACUCCAUAAGAUGUAGUUGGAAAGAAAGACAAAUCUUAAGCAUGUUAAAGAUUUGGGGUUGUGUGCUAAUAAGCAAUAUUUGUUAGAUAACAAUCUUGUAGGAUAUCCUUAAAAUAACUUUUGGAUAUCGCUUCUAUAAACCAACUAACAAAUGUUGUUUUGUUGGGUAGUUCAUUGUAAUUCUACAAUGUGAUUUGCCUAAAAGCAAAUGAACGAGAGAUAGAACUCAAAGAAUGGGUUCUUUGAGAGACAAGAAAGUAAUCAACAAAUAUAACAACCGAGUUCCUGUACCACAAGCUCCAAAGUAGUCGAUAAGAAUGAAAAUCCUUAUGACUACAUUGAGUGCAUAUACGAUAUAUACUCAAGGAAAUGGUAAAGUACCAUUUGACUCGAAAUAAUGAAACCUUCAUUAGCUAAUUGGUAGCUUAAGGUGACUACAAUCAAAGAGAAUGGUUGACUUUAAAGGAACCAUUUUUGACGUAGUCUUAGUUUCAAUUAAUUCGAAGAUUGCUAGCUACAACUAAAUGGUGAUUCAAUGUUUGGACAUAAUAUGGGUUUCCGAAACCAUUAUUAAGAUAGUCUUGAUAAUAUAUGUCUAAAACUAUAAAUCACAAGACAUGUAAGUUGUAGAGAUCCAUCCAUCAUGGAUCUUAGCAAGUUAGUGGGAGCUAUUUGCAUUUUAUGAGAAAAAGGAUCAAAUCGUUUGAUUUCUCAUAAAGAUGUAAAUGAAUCUUUUGUUUACUAGUUUUACAAAAGAUGAGUGGGAGUUAAUCAUGUUCCUAAAAAUUUAAAUAUAUAUGAUAUAUUAAUUUUGGAAAUGAAAAGAAUACUUCUUCGUUAAAGUUAUGACUUUAAUACAUUAUAUAUGAAGAUAGAAUGUAUAUGGGAGAUAUAGUCUAUAUACAUGGGAUGGAAAUCUAUAAUGAUAUAUUUCAUGAUAUAAUUGGAUUAUAUCAAUCCCUAAUAAUAGACAAUGGAUGCUAGGAAGUUUCUCAUAUGAUGAUAAACUUCAAUAAGAAGGACGAUUCUCUAGUGAGACUAGCAAGUUGCCCUUCUCAAAGGGAAUGUACCCUUUGACUCCCAAAGAAAUAAUGCGUAAAUUGAAUCCUUUAUGCAUACGCAGAAAGGUUAUUUAUGUAUUUCAUAUUGUAUGAAAAACAUUGAUAUGAGUUGUACCUAGAACGGUACAAGACGAUAUCAGUGCAAGCCCAGGAUCAGAACCAUGGCAACUGUCAAGUGAGUCCUUAAGUAUUUGAGAAAUACUAAAGGAUAGAUUCCUCAAAGAAUGAGGAAGAAUUAGAGUAACGUAAUGGAAGCGUAAAUGUAUUAGAUUAUGAAUCUAAUCCAUCAUUGGAUGUUUCUUCAUUAUGAAUGAAGAGAUAAACGAAUAUCUCUUUAUUAUGACUAAAGAGAUAUUUGGAUGGAAACAUUAAAGUAAUGACUUUAGUGUGUUCCAUUAUGAAUGCAAGAUAUAUUGCCAUAUAGAAGUUUUACAACAAUGUUGUUUGGAUGGGAAAGUUCAUUUAUGAACUCUCUAUUCGAUUCCAACCAGAAAGUGUAUGACACUAAUGGGGCGAUAGCUCAAGCCUGGGAAUCAAGGUCUCAUCAAGAUCCGAACUCAAAAUGAGAGACUGAACCACACAUGAUUGAGAAUCAUGUAUAAUGGUGACGUCGUUAUUCUCAAGGGUGCUUCUAUGGAUAACACAUAUAGAUAUCCACUGUCUAGGCCUACUAUUUAGCCAUUUAUGAAAUGACUACAGAAGAGGUAUCAUCAAGAUGACCAAGCUGAUUGGCUCUAGUGCAAGUGGGAGAUUGUUGGAAAUGUGCCCUAAAAGCCAAUCAUGUGAUGAUACUUUACGGACAUUUCACAUGUUAAACUAAUCUAGUUUUACAUAUAAAGGGCAAAGAUUAUUGUUUGAGCCGUCUCAUAUAAAUGUUAUAUGCUUAAACGAUAAAGUCCAAGGAAUAUGUGAUUGGGAGAAUGUAAUCUAAUGAAGUUAGAUUCAUGAGACCAUUCUUUCGUAGACACAUCCUAAAUGUUCCUGAUCAUAGGAUUGCCAAUUGGGCAUUGACAGUCCGUUAAGAUCAGUACGUACUAUGUCUUCUCUCAGGGAGAGUGAUCAGUCUCGAAUCAUUGGUGUGUGUGACAUCAAGACAAGUACGGUAGGUGCUCAAUAGAGAAUGAGUUCACUGAACGCGAUCAACGAAGAGUUCUCAUAUUCCAUGUCACAUGAGAACUCAUGGUUGGGAUAAUGCAAAGUAGUAGUCCUUUGACCUGAGGCAUCAUAGUUGUCUUGUGGUUAAGUCCUUGAUCUUUGAUUAUGUCAAAGUCACUCCAUCAGGAGGGUGUCCACGGCAUCGUUGGGGGGUCAAGCCACUUAGCUAUGGAGACAAGUGAAUGCGCAACAAGGGAUCUCUAACCUUCAAACCGUUUGAGGGAGAAUACUCUAUGAUAUGAUUUGAAUCUCUGGCCAGAGUAUGAAUGAGAUUGGGGAAUGCGUUCCAAAUCACAUUCAAGGUAAUCAUAUAAGCACAAGACACACAUUGGAUAGUAGACUUGAGAAAAUAAACUAUCAAACCAAACAAUGUGGUCAAGAGUAUUAGAUUAGAGAAAGACCGUAUUGCAUUUGUAAUCUCGAACUGAAUAGGUUCUCCACCUCUUCUGAUUAGCUUGGGUAACCAUGAUAUGCUGCUAGGUGUCACUCAUGGUUUGUGGAAGCCCUAAACGUGUGUGUAAUCACUAAAGGGAGAAUUGAAAAUAGUUUCAAUUCACAAUCGAUGUAAAAUGGUUUUAAUCGCCCACUACCUCGCUAAAAGGAACCUAAUGGAUCGCACACCAUAAAAGGUAGAGAUUGGAGAUUAAACGGAAAUGAGUAAGAAUGAUUAAAUGGUUUAAUCAUUUAUUUAUGGCAAGGAUUAAUUAAUAUGUUAAUUAAUCAAACGAAUAAGUUCGUUAAAUGACUUCGGGAUAGUUUUGGACCUUAAGGCCCAAUGGGCUUCGAACGUCAAGCCCAUUAACUUAAGUUGUAUGACAAUUUAAUGAAUAAAGAUUCAUUAAAGCCCAAAAGCCCAAAAAUCCCUAAAUGGCCAGCCAUAUGGAAUGAAUUAGGGUUUUGGUUAUUUUAGGUCACUUAAAGAAGUGACUAUAUAAAUGACUUUAUAGCCAAAUAUUCAUAAAGGAUUAAAAAGGGUUUAUUUUGGGGGAAAAAUGGGUGAGAAUUGUCUCUCCAUUUCUCUCUAAAGAGGCCAACACCUUGGAGGGUACAUCUAGCAAU
rnacentral:lncRNA from 1 species